rnacentral:lncRNA from 1 species
AUAACCGAGGCCUUGUCUGCAGAGUAACACACCAGGCCCAAACCCACCGCCCUCGGCAGCCGCCCCACGCGGGCCCUUCCUCGGCAGACUUCCCAACCUCUACUUGAGCCGCAGAGGAAAGUGAGACCCCCUAGGCUCUCCUGAAGCCAGCUCUGGGCCCCUCCCCAAGGAUGCUUUGGGAAGGAGAUAAGGAGGUGAGAUAGAAUCUGGCAGAGACGGAAGAUGAAAAAAAGACCAACGGAAGAAAAGAAAGCAGGAAGGAGCAAAGGAAAGAAGAAAAAAAGAAAGAAGAGAUAAAAGAGGAAGGGAAGACAGGGAAAAGAAGGAAGAAAAGAGAGGCGACUCCUAGCAGCGGCCGAGCUUACAGAGAGAAGGCCAAAGUCAAGCCCGUUUGCCAACCUGCAUGUCCAUGCCUGUAAGCCCUUCUCUUGGCCAAGGAAGAAAGGAAGAAAGAAAAAAGAAACCCAGGGGCCUGUAUCCCCUGAUUAAACACAGCACAGCACUCCAGGCAGACAUGCCCGGUGGCGGCUCCUUUGCACCAUUGACCUCAGGCCAGACACCUCAGCGCCAACAAUGGGACCUCGGCCUUCCGGCUAGGUUUGCCCCAGGCUGGGCAGGAAACCAGCUCGGCCGAAGACAGGGGCCAUUUCGAGCAGUGGGACCCCAAGACAGCAAACCCAGCCCAGUCAGGACUUGACACUUAGGACAAUAUCUAUCUCUAUAGAAUUUUAGCAUGAUAUGGCUUUUUCCCCCAGAAAACAACAAAUAAACCAGCACCAAGCAAACACAAAGAAACAAAAAGUCAGAACAAACCAGCCCUGCACAGAUGUAACGGCCCAGGAGAUGGCGAGUGUGGGAGGGAGGAACAGGGCUCCAGCACAGGUGCGAGUUCCUGGGCAGAGCCUGAAGACAGAGGGAGGGGACCAGCGCUCGGGAAGUGAAAAAACCGCGUCGCCUGGAGAUUCAUCAGGAAAAAUUAAAGUUGGCUGUGAGCUCCCG